UACGGGGGGGGCAAGCGUUGUUCGGAAUUACUGGGCGUAAAGGGCUCGUAGGCGGCCAACUAAGUCAGACGUGAAAUCCCUCGGCUUAACCGGGGAACUGCAUCUGAUACUGGAUGGCUUGAGUUCGGGAGAGGGAUGCGGAAUUCCAGGUGUAGCGGUGAAAUUCGUAGAUAUUCGCAAGAACACCAGUGGCGAAGGCGGCUCACUGGCCCGAUACUGACGCUGAGGCACGAAAGCGUGGGGAGCAAACAGG
rnacentral:rRNA from 1 species